rnacentral:rRNA from 1 species
CAGGCCUAACACAUGCAAGUCGAGCGGACUUAUCCUUCGGGAUAGGUUAGCGGCGGACGGGUGAGUAACACGUAGGCAACCUGCCUGUAAGAUCGGGAUAACUACCGGAAACGGUAGCUAAGACCGGAUAGCUGGUUUCUCCGCAUGGGGGAAUCAUGAAACAUGGGGCAACCUAUGGCUUACGGAUGGGCCUGCGGCGCAUUAGCUAGUUGGUGGGGUAAUGGCCCACCAAGGCGACGAUGCGUAGCCGACCUAAGAGGGUGAUCGGCCACACUGGGACUGAGACACGGCCCAGACUCCUACGGGAGGCAGCAGUAGGGAAUCUUCCGCAAUGGGCGCAAGCCUGACGGAGCAACGCCGCGUGAGUGAUGAAGGUUUUCGGAUCGUAAAGCUCUGUUGCCAAGGAAGAACGCCUCGGAGAGUAACUGCUCUGAGGGUGACGGUACUUGAGAAGAAAGCCCCGGCUAACUACGUGCCAGCAGCCGCGGUAAUACGUAGGGGGCAAGCGUUGUCCGGAAUUAUUGGGCGUAAAGCGCGCGCAGGCGGUCUUUUAAGUUUGGUGUUUAAGCCCGGGGCUCAACCCCGGUUCGCACUGAAAACUGGGAGACUUGAGUGCAGGAGAGGAAAGCGGAAUUCCACGUGUAGCGGUGAAAUGCGUAGAGAUGUGGAGGAACACCAGUGGCGAAGGCGGCUUUCUGGACUGUAACUGACGCUGAGGCGCGAAAGCGUGGGGAGCAAACAGGAUUAGAU